GGUCGUAUAGCUCAGUCGGUAGAGCACAGUGCUAAUAACGCUGCGGUCGCAGCGUUUCGAGCCCCUGUAUGACCA
rnacentral:tRNA from 1 species